UUUCAAAGAAAAUGAAUAAUUUAAAUAUGAAGCAACAUUUACAAAAGAGACAGAAUGCUUUCAUAUUCUUGCAACUGUCUGUAUGUAAAGAUAACCAGGAUUCAAUAAGUUAUAAACACAGAUUAAAUGAAGGACAUGUGAAGAUUACCUGGUAUCCACUAUCUUUUCACUUAAUAAAGAACAUCUGAGAAUAGGGAGCCAUCUGCUACUAUCAUGUAAACAGGCCAAAAGGACUGGGCAGAGGAGCACAAGUCUGGUAUUGCAGCCACAUCUGCUGGCCCAGAUCUCAGCUGGGCUCCUGCCCCAGAGGUAUGGAGGACCCAGGGACACCAAUUCUGGCAA